rnacentral:rRNA from 1 species
CAUUCUGUAGCAAUACAGGGUGUGGGCGCGUGGCGAACGGGUGCGUAACACGUGGAUAACCUUCCUUGAGGUGGGGAAUAACCCAGUGAAAAUUGGGCUAAUACCGCAUAACAUCGCGAUGGCACAUGCUGAUGCGAUCAAAGGCGCAAGUCGCCACAAGAGGGAUCCGCGGCCGAUUAGCUUGUUGGCGAGGUAAUGGCUCACCAAGGCAAUGAUCGGUAGCCGGACUGAGAGGUUGGCCGGCCACACUGGAACUGAGACACGGUCCAGACUCCUACGGGAGGCAGCAGUGGGGAAUCUUGCACAAUGGACGAAAGUCUGAUGCAGCAACGCCGCGUGGGGGAUGAAGCUUCUCGGAGUGUAAACCCCUUUCGACCCGGAAGAAUGCCCGCAAGGGUAUGACGGUACGGGUAUAAGAAGCCCCGGCUAACUACGUGCCAGCAGCCGCGGUAAUACGUAGGGGGCCAGCGUUGCUCGGAAUUACUGGGCGUAAAGGGUCCGUAGGCGGUGUAGCAAGUCGAUAGUGAAAUCUCUGGGCUUAACCCAGAGGCUGCUAACGAAACUGCUGUGCUAGAGUGUGAGAGAGGCGAGUGGAAUUACGGGUGUAGCGGUGAAAUGCGUAGAUAUCCGUAGGAACAUCCGAGGCGAAGGCGGCUCGCUGGAUCACAACUGACGCUGAGGGACGAAAGCUAGGGGAGCAAACAGGAUUAGAUACCCUGGUAGUCCUAGCCCUAAACCAUCAGGACUUGGGGUUUGCCCUGUACGGGGCAAGUCCCGUAGCUAACGCGUUAAGUCCUGCGCCUGGGGAGUACGGUCGCAAGGCUGAAACUC